rnacentral:rRNA from 1 species
UACGUAGGUGGCAAGCGUUGUCCGGAUUUACUGGGCGUAAAGAGCGCGCAGGCGGCCGAGUAAGUCGAAUGUGAAAGCCCCCGGCUCAACUGGGGAAGGUCAUUCGAUACUGUUCGGCUCGAAGAUAGGAGAGGGAAGCGGAAUUUCAGGUGUAGUGUGAAAUGCGUAGAUAUCUGAAGGAACACCAGUGGCGAAGGCGGCUUUCUGGCCUAUUCUUGACGCUGAGGCGCGAAAGCUAGGGGAGCGAACGGG